AGAAAUGGGCGGAGGACUUCCAACAUUCAUCCAAAGUGACCCUGACAGUUGGCAAAACCCAUCCUAUAACUGAGGAGACAGUUCAGCGCAACAGCUACGACAGUUGACAUGAGAUGCCAUCACAACACAAAGCAGACGGGUCGAACUAAAAAGAACACCAACUGUCCUGCUGGACUCCACCUUGUGCUGAAAAAGCAAAGCCACGGUCAGAACAGGAAGUCCAUAUCUACUGAUAGUCAUAUUCAGGACGGGUUAUUGUUGCAUGACCA